rnacentral:rRNA from 1 species
UACGGGGGGGGCAAGCGUUGUUCGGAAUUACUGGGCGUAAAGGGCUCGUAGGCGGCCUUCUAAGUCGAACGUGAAAUCCCCGGGCUCAACCCGGGAACUGCGUCCGAUACUGGAAGGCUUGAAUCCGGGAGAGGGAUGCGGAAUUCCAGGUGUAGCGGUGAAAUGCGUAGAUAUCCCCAAGAACACCAGUUGCGAAGGCGGCUGACUGGACACAUAUUGACGCUGAGGCUCGAAAGCAUGGGGAGCAAACAGG